UGUGAAAUAACUAAAAUAAAAUAGGAUAAUAAGUAUGCUUAGUCAAUUUGUAACGUGGUAUAAUAGAGGCAUCUGCAAUAAAAUAAGUCGGUUUCCAAGACCUGACAAGUGAGAGCAACUUAAUAUAACAUAUGUCUACAGUUUGCUGUCCUUUCCUUAUCAGAGGCCACUUGCAACACAGCAAGACAACUCUUCCGAAACCUGUAUUAAACAAAG